rnacentral:rRNA from 1 species
AAUGAACGCUGGCGGCGUGCCUAACACAUGCAAGUCGAGCGAGAAAGUCUCCUUCGGGGGGCGAGUAAAGCGGCGGACGGGUGAGUAACACGUGGGUGACCUGUCCUGGAGUGGGGAAUAACCUGGGGAAACUCGGGCUAAUACCGCAUACGCUCCCAUGGUUGCGACCAUGGGAGGAAAGUUGGCCUCUACACGUAAGCUGACGCUCCUGGAGGGACCCGCGCCUGAUUAGCUAGUUGGUGGGGUAAAGGCCUACCAAGGCGACGAUCAGUAGCCGGCCUGAGAGGGCGAUCGGCCACACUGGGACUGAGACACGGCCCAGACUCCUACGGGAGGCAGCAGUGGGGAAUAUUGGACAAUGGGGGCAACCCUGAUCCAGCAACGCCGCGUGGGGGAUGAAGGCCUUCGGGUCGUAAACUCCUGUCAGUAGGGACGAAAAGCCCUUGGUCAAUAGCCUUGGGUCAUGACGGUACCUGCAGAGGAAGCCCCGGCUAACUCCGUGCCAGCCGCCGCAGUAACAC